GCCAGCGUAGCAUAGUGGUUUGAGUGUUGGACUAUUACUCUGGAGACCAGGGUUUGAAUCCCUGCUCAGUCA
rnacentral:tRNA from 1 species